rnacentral:rRNA from 1 species
UACAGAGGUCUCAAGCGUUGUUCGGAUUCAUUGGGCGUAAAGGGUGCGUAGGUGGCGCGGUAAGUCGGGUGUGAAAUUUCGGAGCUCAACUUCGGAACUGCCUUUGAUACAGCACGUCUUGAGUCCGAUAGAGGUGGGUGGAAUUCCUAGUGUAGAGGUGAAAUGCGCAGAUAUCAGGAGGAACACCGGUGGCGAAGGCGGGUCUCUGGGCCGAUACUGACGCUGAGGAGCGAAAGCGUGGGGAGCGAACAGG